UUGGCGGAGAAUGCGGUGAAUGGAUUUGAAGGAGGCCAGGUGUUUGUCCGCCCGUAAUCGGGAUCCAACUUCACUAGCAUCCCAUCAGGCGAUGAACUGCGAGGACGUGUAAAUAAGGCCAGGAAUUCGAAAUGGGGAUGCACAAGAUACAGGAUACAGGACUUGGGACUAGAGAACUGGAACUCCGGCGGAGACCAGCAUCAUUAUAAGAUUAUAUCGCAAGUCCACUCCUUGCCACACAUCCUCAUCCUUUGGUGGUGGGAAAGGUGACUCUGAUUUUGUUUUGUCGACUGUUUGCCUCGGCCACCUUUGCCUUGUGCCCACUAUGCACAGGUGCUCCAGUACGCCCAUCUGUUGUCUGUCGCUCCAAAACCUUUGACCUCCCAUAAGCCACCACCCACCACCACCACAUGUGUGCAGAUUUUAAAUUAGAUUUCUGUGUGCACUCCGAGCAUCCUAGCCUUGCCUUGCCUCGCCUUUUGCUUUACUUGCGCCACGCCCGCUUUCUUUCGUGC
ensembl:ncRNA lncRNA:CR45529 long non-coding RNA:CR45529